UUUUCCUAUUCCUUCUCUCUGUAACCCAUCUCUUUCUCUUUCUAUAUCUUCCUUCUCUCUCUAUUGCCUAGCCACCCAUCUUGCCCUUUACGUCUUCUCUAUCAUCGUCCUCACUUCUCCACCAGUUCAUCAGCGACAAACCUCAUUCCUCCACCAUUCUUCCUUCUUUCUUUACCCACCUACCUGCUUCCCCACUUACCCAUCUCCAACAUUACCAGCUGCGACAGCACUUAUCGACACUUGCAACAUCUAUAGUGGGAAUGGCGAGAAACUUCGCCGCGUCGACUGCGAUGCUGCAAGAAAGGUUAAUUUUUUCGCUUCACGAAAAUGCUAUUUCGAUCUUCUUUAGACCAAUGCUGUUUCAAGAAGAUGUUGUUUCGAUCUUUUUCAAGAAACAUCAGCACCCAGUCACUAUGUGUGUGUGGGUGUUAGGAGUGGCACUGCUUCCUUGUAGUGGUAUAUGUCGGCGGUAGGUUAUGGUGAGGUGGUGCUAGUGAUGCGAUGUGUGCAGUGUUAGGUUGUGGAUUUAUCGUGGAUGGUUUGCAACUUGGAUGGUUGUGGAUCUAUUGUUUAACUAGAUUUUUUUUAGGAUGGUUGUUGGUGUUUUGCAAAUAGUGAUAGUCAUUUUGUUGAUGGUGGUGCAGGUAGUCAUGGUCAGGUAGUGAAUGUUGGUAAUGGUGGUGAUGGCGGCCACAAACAAGUUUGACCAAGUUUAUGUUUAUUGUGACAUAUUGUGACCAAUUAUGUGUUAAUUUUGAUUUGAUCACACAGCAUCACAAUUAAAAUUGAAUUGGUAACAGACAUUCAUAGUAAACUUAAAAUUAGUUAUAGUUAGUCAUACUGAAAACAAAUUUGUUCACAAUUAAUCACUGAUAGAACAGCUUUGUGACUUGGUUAAAUACAAUUACAAUUAAGCGAUCACAGACAGUCAAG
rnacentral:lncRNA from 1 species